GUACUGUAUCUAAAGGAUAAGCAUGGUCGUUUAGCCACCCAAGUAAAAGUGAAGAAAAACCGGUAGUAUGAACUACAGUGGAAGAUCUUGCAAAAAAGGUGCUUGAAGCAAGAUAUGACUAGAAAGAGCUCAGAUAACUCCACUCUUGAGGUACAUGUAACAUGUUUGUUACCAGGUGCAGAAGAUAUAAAAUUGGAAGAAGUCGUGCUUGAUAAAAGAUGGAAGAAAGUUAUUCAUGCAUUUCUUUUACUCCUCCC
rnacentral:lncRNA from 1 species